UAAUAAGCGGAGGAAAAGAAACUAACAAGGAUUCCCCCAGUAACGGCGAGUGAAGCGGGAAUAGUCCAAAUUUGAAAUCUCCGACGCUUGCGUCGGCGAGUUGUAGUUGCGAGAAGCACUUUCUCGGCGGAUCGGGCGUGCCUAAGUUGCUUGGAACAGUACGUCGCAGAGGGUUACAACCCCGUCUGUGGCACGGCCGACCGUCACGAUGUGCUUUCGAA
rnacentral:rRNA from 1 species